UCUGGUGACGAUGGCAAAGAGGUCACACCCGUUCCCAUACCGAACACGGAAGUUAAGCUCUUUAGCGCCGAUGGUAAUUGGGGGUUUCCCCCUGUGAGAGUAGGACGUUGCCAGGC
rnacentral:rRNA from 1 species